UACGAAGGGGGCUAGCGUUGUUCGGAAUUAUUGGGCGUUAAGGGCGCGUAGGCGGCUGUACAAGUCAAAGGUGAAAUCCCUCGGCUCAACUGAGGAACUGCCUUUGAAACUGUACGGCUUGAGGCCGGGAGGGGGUAGCGGAAUUCCCAAUGUAGCGGUGAAAUGCGUAGAUAUUGGGAGGAACACCAGUGGCGAAGGCGGCUACCUGGACCGGUUCUGACGCUGAUGCGCGAAAGCGUGGGUAGCAAACAGG
rnacentral:rRNA from 1 species